AGAAAUAUCUCUCUCUUGUUUAAUUGAAGGGUGUGGUUUGCAUAUGGUUGCAAGUACACCUCCAAACUUUGUCAUGAGAUGCAAUUUUCGUGUAAAAAAUUCUUAGGAUGGUGUGAGAAUCUAUUUUUAUCUCUAACUAUAAUAUUUUAAACUCUAAGAAUGGUUCAAAUCAACUAGAUCUAUAAAUACAUAAAAAAUUUGAAAAUAGAAGGUCUAGAUAAUAUGUUACAAAAUGCAUGAUUUUUACGACUUAAAAUUUCAUCCUUUUUUCUAUAUCUAUAAAGCCUUUUCUAUAUCUAUAAAGCCGGGAUGAUAAAAUUAGAUGUUUUCUAC
rnacentral:lncRNA from 1 species